rnacentral:lncRNA from 1 species
AUGAAGAGGAAAAAGAAGCAAUCAUCUAAAACCACUGAUGACAGAUCUGUUUCUGGAUGCUACGGAUCCGUCUCUUUCUCCUCGCUUCCCCUGGGGUUUCAAGUCCAGGAGACUAGGGUUUCAAGAUGCAGAUCUGUAUGCAGAGUAGAGAAUAUGGCCUCACAAGCCCUCAGGAGAAAAGGGAGCUUCCUAAGCUCAAGUGAUCAGACCCGUUAGUGAACAUCACAGAGUGUCUGGCAAGUGUCCUUGGCAUCAAUCUCCAGUGUCCCCACUCAGGCCAAAUUCAAACAACUACAAGGUCCAUGUCAACCCAGGGCCUGGAUCCUGCUUCACCCGGAUCAAGAUCCUAGGGACCAGAGAGGGUCAUCGAUCAUCUUCCUGGCCUAGGCACCUCAGGACUCCCCCACAGUUGAAGGAAACGCUUUUGUUUUUCAUCUCCAGUAUUCCUACUAUCCAUCCUCCAUCCCAGGGGAUGGGUGCAGUGGGGAGUCAAGUGAAACGGUCUAAGAAGACAGCUAUGAGAUUUGGUUAAUUUUCCAAAGAGGUGGUAAGACAGCUUCUGAUGUGAGCUGCGCUGUCCCGCUGAAAGGACUGGAGGUCAGAAGGGCCCUUUUGUUCAGAAUCCUUUUGCAUCUGAGAACUGUACUCAUUGUGUGGACCAGCCGACUCUGUUCUCCAUUUCUUUGUGUAUUUCGUGUUAUAUAACACUCAAGUGAACCCAGGCCAGACAGAUUAUGGGUUUUAGGGGGUUUUUUUUGUUUGUUUGUUUUUAAUUUUUUAAUUGAAGUAUAGUUGAUUUACAAUGUUGUGUUAGUUUCAGGUGUACAGAAAAGUGAUUAAGCUAUAUAUAUAUAUUCUUUUAUAUAUAAUAUACUUUUAUUUAUAAUAUAUGUAUUUUUCAGAUUCUUUUGCCAUAUAGGUUGUUACAAAAUACUGAGUAUAGUUCCUUAUGCUAUACAGUAGGUCCUUGUUGGUUAUCUCUUUUAUAUAUAGUACUCUGCUGUGUUUAGUCACUCAGUCAUGUCUGACUCUUUGCAACACUGUGGACUAUAGCCCACCAGCCUCCUCUGUCCAUGGAAUUUUACAGGUAAGAAUAUUGGAGUGGGUUGCCAUGCCCUCCUCCAGGGGAUCUUCCCAACCUAGGGAUUGAACCCAGGUCUCCUGCAUUGCAGGAGGAUUCUUUACUGUCUGAACCAUCAAGGAAACCUAAGAAUACUGGACUGGGUAGCCUAUCCCUGCUCCAGAGGAUCUUCCUGACCCAGGAAUCAAACCAGGGUCUCCUGCAUUGCAGGCGGAUUCUUUACUAGCUGAGCUACCAGGGAAGCCCAUGUAUAGUACCGUAUAUAUGUUAAUCCCAAACGGCUAAUUUAUCGCCUCCUUUCCUCCUUUGGCAGCCAGGGCUCAGGUGGUUAGUAAGAGUGACAUAGCCACAUAUGCACACAGUGGGGCAAGGCCAACUUGACACAUGAUGACCAGCUGCUCAACCUCUGAGAGCAUAGUCCUAUUUGUUCACCAGCAUAACAACUGGCAUAGCAGAGACAUGUAGUAGUUUUAAUUUAUGGUUUGGAACCAUAAA